rnacentral:lncRNA from 1 species
CCGAUGGAUAGGUAGCCACCUCUCUCUGCCAGACACCCCAACCGAACUUCGACCGACAGGCCUGGAUCCCCUGACAGGCCGCAGUAACGGCCAUGACUCUACUCCACUUCCUGCAAAGGAUUCUGUGCGGCUCUAUCACCCCCUGUAAAGGCCACGUCUUUGCUCCACUUCCUGCAACGGAUUUCGUGCGGCUCCAUCACCCCCUGGCAGGCCACAGUAACGGCCACGACUCUGCUCCACUUCCUGCGAUGGAUUUCGCGCGGCUCCAUCACUCCCUGGC